rnacentral:rRNA from 1 species
CAGUCGCCGCGGUAAUACGAGGGGGGCAAGCGUUGUUCGGAUUUAUUGGGCGUAAAGGGUGCGUAGGCGAUUUGGCAAGUCUUGUGUGAAAUCUUCGGGCUCAACCCGAAGCCUGCACGAGAAACUACCGGGCUUGAGUAUUGGAGAGGUGAGUGGAAUUUCCGGUGUAGCGGUGAAAUGCGUAGGUAUCGGAAGGAACACCUGUGGCGAAAGCGGCUCACUGGACAAUAACUGACGCUGAUGCACGAAAGCUAGGGGAGCAAACAGGAUUAGAUACCCCUGUAGUCCCUGUCUCUUAUAC